rnacentral:rRNA from 1 species
AGCAGCCGCCGCGGGAAUACAGAGGGUGCGAGCGUUAAUCGGAUUUACUGGGCGUAAAGCGUGCGUAGGCGGCUUCUUAAGUCGGAUGUGAAAUCCCUAAGCUUAACUUAGGAAUUGCAUUCGAUACUGGGAAGCUAGAGUAUGGGAGAGGAUGGUAGAAUUCCAGGUGUAGCGGUGAAAUGCGUAGAGAUCUGGAGGAAUACCGAUGGCGAAGGCAGCCAUCUGGCCUAAUACUGACGCUGAGGUACGAAAGCAUGGGGAGCAAACAGGAUUAGAUACCCGCGUAGUCCCUGUCUCUUAUAC